rnacentral:tRNA from 1 species
GGCAGCUAGGAACCGAGCGGUCCAAGGUGUGUGACUCAAGUUCUCAUCCUCGUAUGAGGGCACGAGUUCGAAUCUCGUCCUUGUCA